GCGCCAAGUCAUGAAGACCGCCUCGACUGGUCUCGAUCUUAGAUGUUUUGGAAUGUCACUCGGGCACUUCCGACACUCCCUAAAGCUCUGGACAUGAAAGCAGAAGCACCAGCCAGCAGAUAUGGAACAGGUUUCUCUGCGUUGGUGGAUUUCCUACAGAAGAAAAGUGUCUGAAAAAGUAGUCAACAAACAGAGUGUUCCACCAGGAUUUCGCAAUUUUAUUUAGAUGAGUGGGUUUAUACAAUAGUAAAAUUUUACCUUUCUGAGCUUUAUGCAAACAUUUCUUAGUUGCUUAAAGGUCUGCCAGUCUGAAUUAAAUGCUGUUUUCUUAG